AUCGCGUCGCCACCCCCCUCCCGCGGGGGCGGCGGAGACUGGCCUCCCGUGCCCCCGGGCGCGGCCGGCCUAAACGCGAGUCCUCGGCGGGGGACGUCACGACCAGUGGUGGUUGAGUCCCUCAACUCGAGUCCUUGUCGUGCCGUUAGACCACCCGCCGCAUUCGGGGCUCCGACGACCCUGAAGAGAGUUGAUCUCAUCUCGAUG
rnacentral:rRNA from 1 species